rnacentral:lncRNA from 1 species
CCGGCGUGAAGACUUCGGCCCCCGCAUUUGUGGACCGGAGAACAUCACCCGAGAGCGCCGGGCGCGACUUCCCUGGCCCCCCACACCUGAGGACCAGAGAGUGUGCAUAUUUGCAAUAAAAGACUGCCACUUUCUUACGUACUUUGGCCUCAUGUUUAAUUAGCUCUCCUAAAUUAAGUUACAUUAAAUUAAAUUAAAACAGUUGGUGCUGCAACCCAACCUAGGAGGAGACCCUUCCUCAACAUUCCCUAGGGGUCUAACGAACCUCCUCCCCAGCGAACCGGCUCCCAACCCAACCAGCCACGAACACCGAACAAGUGUUCCAGCCUCCCACUGGUGCCACUCUGAGAAUUUCUCCUUCGAACUGACAGCAAGAACAUCUGGAGUCUUACUCUAUUUUCUCUCAGGGUUCAACCUACUCAACAUUGUUGAGUUUCCCUAUAUUUCUUAUAAGGUAAGAAGGGUCCAGACAUUUUAAUAUAUCCCGCUGCAAGAGUAAAAUAGCCCCAGGUUCUGGGAUGGGGCAGCCUAGGUUCCAAUCCUAGCUCUGAAACCACUACCUGGGCAACCUUGGGUAGGUUUCUUAACCUGUGUAAAUCUCAGUUUCUUCACGGUACACAGUAAUAUGUUACAUAGAGAUGAGAGGAUUAAACAAAAGAAUCCAGAUGUCCCCUAUGCGUAAUGCAGAGUAAUUACUAGAUAUUAACUGUGUGCUAGUUACUGUUUAUAGCAUUAUUAAAAGUGCUUGUCAGCCAUGCUACAAGCUGAUUACCAAAAGAAAAUUUUGCUUAUUUUCUUUGUAUAUUUCAUACUGAAGGAGUAAAAGCUGUCACACAUUAUUUAUUUAUUUGUUUAUUUAGUGACAGGGUUUCACUGAGUUGCCCAGACUGGAGUGCCCUGGCGUGAUCACAGCUUGUUCAGCCUAGACGUCCCAGGCUCAAGCAAGUCUCCUGCCUCAGGCUACUGGGUAGCCGGGACCACAGGUGCAUGCCACUGUGCCUGCUAAUUAUUUUAUUUUUUGUACAGACAAGGUCUCACUUUGUUGCCUAGACUGGUCUCAAACUCCUGGCCUCAAGUGAUCCUCUGGCCUCGGCCCCCCAAAAUGUUGGGAUUACAGGUGUGAGCCACUGUGCCUGGACCUCAUUACACACUUAAUAAAAUAGAUUGCAUAAUGCCGCUGGUCACUCAUCAGCCACUAACUUUGGCAAUUCACUUCUCUGACAGUCUGUUUCCUUCUUUUCUAGCUAGGCCAAUCACUGCUGCCUCCCAAGAUAUCCUGGAUGAAAGAUGUUUGGGAAAGGUCUGAAGUACUCUCUGGAGUAAAAGGUGUUACUGUUGGGAUGCAUGACAAUGAGCUUCUAUGGGCAGAUAUUAAUUUGAUUUGAACUUGGGAUAGGUGUUGAGAAAAGCAGUUCUGCUCAAUUUUUAAAUCCUAGGAUACUCUGUAAGCAUUCAUAAUGUUGAUUUAUUUCUUUGAGAAACCAUCUAGAAAUCUUGAAACUCUCUUAUUUGUCUCUUUCCCUCUC